AAAAUACAAAAGUCAUAGAUAAAAACUAUCCAAGAGUCAAUCAGCCAACAAAUACAAAGGCCAUAAGAUAGAUCCUAGACAAUAAUAAUAAUAAUAAUAAUAAUAAAAGAUUAACUAUUCUAGAUCUAAUAGAUAUCAUGGCUAGAGAGAUCAGAAUCUGAAGAGUCAGAGAUAUGAUGAGGAGAUGUAGGAUCAAAUCUACGGGCACGAUCUCGGCCACAUUUGCCUCGGCCAUGGGUAGAAGUACAGGCACAAGUAGAGGGGCAAGAG
rnacentral:lncRNA from 1 species